rnacentral:lncRNA from 1 species
AGUUCGUGAGAGCAUGGGGACAUACGCAAACUCCUUAGCCAUGAGAGAGAUCGACUUGAUGAGCUCAUCCAUGGAUGGGAGUAUAACGGAACUAAGCGCUUCUUGAAGCAUCAAACCAUGGGAAAGGUUGUUGAUGUCCUCAGAGGUGCAAGCGAAAUGGAAGAACUCGAGAACCUUAGCGAUCUCAGGGUGUGACUCACACUUUUGUUUCAAGAAAUACUCAACGGCCUUGACAUCGUGGUUGGUUACUUUCUCGAUCUUCUUGACUUCCAAAGCGUCGUCCAUGCUGAACCCAUCGAUGAUGCCUUGCAAGUAAACCUCAGCUUCUUUGCUAAAGCUUGGAACUUCGGUGACUUGGGGAAUUUUCGAAAGCUUAAGAAGCCAUUUGAUCUAAAUACAAAAACAAUCUUCUUCUCAAUCAAUGAAUAUUAAUAGUAACAAGGGAGGUUCAAUCACAAGAAGUAAACUAACUACCUCGACAAGUACUCGGAAGUAGAUCAAACCAAACUCGCUCAUGGAAGAAGCCAAGUCCUUGACUUUCCCCCAGUAACGUCCGUCUAGAGGCGAUAACGCCGUUAAGUUUGACAUCUCCAAGUCUCUUGAGCUUCCCGUGGACAUUGCUACCACCUAAAGUAUCCAUUUUUUUUCGCCAAUUCGCAUCGGUAACAAUUAGAUUACAUCCGCAACGAAGCAUUUCGACAUAAACCCACAAUUAGAUUACCUUUCUUGAAGUCGUUAGCUUGAGAGAAUCAGGAGAAGAGAGAGAGAAUGAAACUGUGGGAAGCGGAUGGUGAGGAGCUAAGCAGAGCGAUUUUGACGGGUUUAAGAGUUUUCCGGUGGUGGGUGUGAAGCCGAAGCAAGGAGUUAAUGCCUUGGAUGAAAAAUUGAGCUCCAUUUGUGAUUCAAGGUUUCGGAAGCACGAUGACGACGAAGGGAGUGUGAAAAGCUUGGAGCUUUAGGGUUUUAGGGGGAAUCUGAUUAAACUCAGGCGCUUUUCUGUAAAUUGCAUUUCUACCCCUGCUUUCUCUACGUAUUUACGCUUACAGCUACAGAUUAUUAAUUUUUUUACUGGUUCAACCUCAAUUUUAUAGAUAGUUGAAUUUGUUCUACAUCACUGGAGAAAUGAUUCAUAAUAACAUGAUCAAAUAUAACGGAUUACAUUUAUCGAAUUUUGAUAGUGAAAAUAAAUCAAUUAGUGAAGAAAGAAUAAACUUAAUUGGUUUGAACCCCAUUACAUUAAAAAAAAAAAUGUUUUGACAUGAUUACAUAAUAUAUACAUGUAUACAUAUGUAUGUUUAAUUGUUAUUUGUUACUAAUAUUUAAAACCUGUAGUCUUUAAUGUUGUAUUUUCCCGUCAAAAAGAAGAUAAUAAUGUGUCCAAAUAAUCACUUCCAAAUUCCUCAAACUCAAACAAACCAAACACAUCACAUUUAUCUUCUCCCCUGCUAGCCAUUUUCUUAUAAUCAGUCUCAACUUCUUGAAACGUUAUACAAUCUUCAUCCCUUCUUUGUCUCUUUCUUGAACCUAACCAAGCUUCUUCGUUCCCAACCAAUCCACAGAUGUCGAAGCUAAUUUCCUGAGUUGAACAAUAACUAAGGGCACAACUGUUGUCGACCACCCCAUCAACGACUUUAUCAUCAUAAGCCCUAAUCGCAUAUUUUCCUAUUUCACAGUGGUUUCUUAAAGGUUGAGAGGUACUUGAGCGGUUUAUCGGGUAGUAACUUGAGCCGCAAUCCAUUUCCAUAGCUUUUAUAACUGUCUCGAGUUGAAAAUUUGUGUGAGCUCUUUGGACGCCUCUGAUUUUAACCGCGGCUUUAUCGUAAGCCAUAGCUGCUUCUUCUGCAGUGUGGAACGUCCCGAGCCAAACUCUAACACCGUUUCUCGUCGAAUCCCUGAUCUCUGCUGCGAACUUCCCCCACGGACGCCUCCUUACUCCCCUGUAUUUCCUUGUUUUGCAAGAAACCGAAGAAGGCAAAGAACGUGAACCGGUAGGGUUGGUUAACGGCUCAUGAUUGGUUUCGCUUGGGAAAGAAGCAAUGGAGUCGAGAAUCUCGGCCCAUUCCUUGGCCUCCAUUGACAUAUCUAUGGUUGGAAGGCUUCCUUUUGAUUCUUUUGAUAUGUCAUCGAGUGUUGGCAACGCUUCCCAAGUCGUGGAAACUUCUUGAACAUGGACUGAUCAUUUUUAUUAAAUAUUUUUGCUUUUGUAUAUAUAUUGUUUUAAAAAAAAGAAAAAAAUUUUACCCUCCCGCAACCGCCUGCAACCGCAAACGCUAGCACUAAUACUUGAGGAUACAAAGACUCUAGAGGAUUCAGAGGUUUCGGGUUAUCAGUUGGUUUAGCUGACUGCUCUGGUUAUUUCCGGUUCAAUUGGAGUAGCUCUGGAUGAAGACAUGUGUUCUAUCUUUUGCGUGUUUAUAAGUCUCAGUCUCUUGGUGAUAAUGAGAUGAGCUGAGAUAGAGUUGUAAAGAGAGAAGAAGAAACACUUUGUAUCCGUACGGUGGCUCAAGUUUCAGGGUCACCGGGGUUCAGUGGAUGGAUUGCCGUAAGAGAGUCGGCCGGUGAGUAUAUAGCAGCUUCUCCAUCUUGGAAGAGUGUGGUGAACACCGGAUAAACAGUGUUUUGUCUUUCUAUAGUCUUUACUUUCUUGACACAUGAGAGAUUGAUUAGAGAGAGAGAGUUUGAGAGAAAUCUAGGAUCGAAGUUUAACAGAAAUCAAAUGAAUAAAUGUGGUUCGUUAAACUAAUAAUUAGGAUUGAGAGGUCAGUAAUAUGUUUGUUCGCAACAAAAUCCAUAAUAAUAAAUACAAAACUAAGCAAGAUUCAACUGCUUAACAAAGUAUAAAAUAAAUAUUAUAGAUACGAAUUCAAAAGCAACAUGUUUAUUUUCUUGUGGUUUUACUUCGGUUCUUGAAAAGCUAUAACAGAAGUCUAACAUUCAUUUUAGUUUCACGACUAGAAUAGUCUUAUCCAAUUCAUUUUCUUGUGGUCGGUUUGUGUUGUAAAACCAACUUUAAACCAUUCCCCCUCCCAAAAUUACUAAUUCAGAUAAUCUCAGCCUGAGCAACAACCAGAUGAUUUAACAACAGAAAUAUCAUCUUUGCUACCUAAAUCAAUGGUCUGUCCUUUAGACAAAGACGUCGGAUCUCCAGUGCCCUCAAAAGCUUUACGGCUCAUAACACGACAGAUCUUAGUCAAGACAUGAGUGAAAGCUUGCUCAACAUUUGUAGCAUCAAGAGCAGAUGUUUCCAUAAAGAACAUGUUCUCUCUUUCAGAGAAAGAUUUAGCUUCGUCCUCUUGAACUGCACGAAGGUGAUGAAGAUCAGCUUUGUUUCCAACAAGCAUGAUCACGAUGUUGGCAUCGGUAUGGUCACGAAGCUCUUUGAGCCAUUGUUCAACGUUCUCGAACGUUACAUGUUGAGUUAUGUCGUAUACUAGAAGAGCCCCCACUGCUCCUCUGUAGUAUGCACACGUGAUUGCUCUGUACCUAUAUAACAACAAACACACAAUUGCUCAAUUACAAAGCUGGAGAAAAACAAUAUAAAGAGAACAAGCAUAUCUAGUAGGUAUCCAAGAGGUCAUGAAUUCAAUUCCCCUUGGAAAGGGUCUUCUCAUUAGGAGAGUUAUUUAAAAUGGUUUGGGCUUUGCCCUACAAGAUGUACAAGCUUAAUGGAAAUUUAACCAGAUAAAACCAUUGUAAUUUGGUUUGUAAUAUUUUAAUUUGGCUUUGGUAUAUUGGGUUUUUAAUACCAAAAUAAGUAAAUAUUGAUUCUUUAUUUUAAUAAAUAGAUAUAGGUUCAUUUACAUAUAUGUAAUAUUAAAACUCAUAACAAAUUUUGGAUUAAUAAAUUACACAAAAAUCAGUUACGAUUUUAUUUAUAUGAAAAACUAACUGGUUACAAUAUUUGAUAAACUGAAAAAUAUAAACAUUUUUGGUUUGGUUCGGUCAUGUUGCAAUUAUUAACCGACGUAAAACAACACAUAACCAAGAAAAAAACAGAACACUGAGGGAAAAAACAGACAGGUCACGAGGAUUUUGUUUACCUUUCUUGACCGGCGGUGUCCCAAAGCUGAGCUUUGAUGAUUUUCUCGUCGACAUGAACACUUUUCGUGGCGAACUCGACACCAAUGGUAGCCUUUGACUCGAUACUAAAUUCAUUUUUGGUGAAUCGAGACAAAAGGUUUGUUUUUCCGACGCUGGAGUCUCCGAUCAAAACUAGUUUGAAGAGAUAGUCGUAAUCUUCAUCGGCUAUGUACUCUAGGUUCAUUUACAUAUAUGUAAUAUUAAAACUCAUAACAAAUUUUGGAUUAAUAAAUUACACAAAAAUCAGUUACGAUUUUAUUUAUAUGAAAAACUAACUGGUUACAAUAUUUGAUAAACUGAAAAAUAUAAACAUUUUUGGUUUGGUUCGGUCAUGUUGCAAUUAUUAACCGACGUAAAACAACACAUAACCAAGAAAAAAACAGAACACUGAGGGAAAAAACAGACAGGUCACGAGGAUUUUGUUUACCUUUCUUGACCGGCGGUGUCCCAAAGCUGAGCUUUGAUGAUUUUCUCGUCGACAUGAACACUUUUCGUGGCGAACUCGACACCAAUGGUAGCCUUUGACUCGAUACUAAAUUCAUUUUUGGUGAAUCGAGACAAAAGGUUUGUUUUUCCGACGCUGGAGUCUCCGAUCAAAACUAGUUUGAAGAGAUAGUCGUAAUCUUCAUCGGCUAUGUACUCUCCCAUUAUUGACUUUUCAGAAACCCAAAAAAUGAAAAUAUAGAACAAGAACUAAAAUCUUUGGUUGAUGUAAAUAGUUUUGAUAUGAAAAUAUAACAAGAACUAAUAGUUUUAAUCUUUGGUUGAACCAAAAUCGGCUCUGUACUCUGCCAAGGAAUAUUUCUUCAAUAUAAAUAGUUUUGAUCAAUUUAAAUCACUCGGAAACUUUUCCAUAAAUUAAAGGAUAUCAAUAUGUAGGAAGAUAUUAGAGAAGAGGUUAUGUAUGGUAUGUGAUAAAUUGUUGUUUUGAUUUUAUGACAUUUUCAAUUAAUGUUUUAAGAUAUUAUUGUAAAAGACAAUUAAAAUAUGAAGUAGAUAUUAAGAUAACAUGUGUCCAUGUAAAUGGUAACAAUGAAAAAAAUAUUACAUAUCAAAGCUGUGAAUAUGACAAAAAAUUUCUUAACAUUAUUUAGCAAUUUUGUUUCCUUACUCUUUGCAUUCACAUUUGCCUAGAUUUUGUACCAUAAACACUUGACUUUAAAAAAUACAAACCCCUCAAAUUAAAAGAAAAUGUUCAACUUGUAAACUCUACAUCAUUUGACUCUAAUGUAACAAAUUUUCUUUUUAUGACCUGCGGAGGUGUUUAAUUGGAAUUUUAGUUCGUUUUUUUGGUUCGUUUUUUACUUUUUGGUAUUUCAACUUAUAAAAAUUAGCUAUCAAAUUAAUAUCACAUAUAUAUUUUGGUGUGGUUCAGCUUAUAUACUAUCGUUUUCGGAUAGUUCUAUUUUAUACCACAGCACUAUGUUUAUCUUUUAUAAUAUUUUGUGAAUUUUUGUAUAUAUGAUUUAGAAGGCUUUCUACGUUAAAAAUAAUUAGUAAAAGUAAAAAUUUAAUAAUUAUGAUAAUUUUUAUAAAAUAAAAUAACAAAGUUAGUAAUAUCAUAAUAUUAUUAAAAACUAAUUUUAACACUAUCAACAAAAGUUAUAUUUGAUUUCAUUUGAUGAAAAUAAGAACAACAAAAUAACUUUUAACUUAAAACAAAUUACUAAAAUCAACAUCUUACAUAUCAAUAAAAUAAAUUAUAUAUAUAUAUUGUUAAUUAUAUGUAAUUAUGUAUAAUUAUAUUACAAUAUUGUAUUUAAUCGGUUUAUUUUGUUUAUUUGGUUCAAUCGAUUUAUAUAUCCAAGUUAUAUUCAUAUAAGUUGGUUUUAAUUGGUUCGAUUUUACUGUAUUGUACAAAACUUAAAUUGUCUACUUAUACCAAUAUUGUUUUAUUGGUUGGAGUAUCGUUGAACGAUAUAAUUCAUAAAUAAACAGGGCCACAACUUAUAAUUCAGGACUACUAAAUCAAAAGAGAGUGAAUUUAAUUAAUCGAUGAUGUCAAAAUCUGAAAGAGAAAACAUAAAACAACAGUACAAGAUUAUUCUCACCGUUUUCAUCCAUCUAUGAAUUGACGGACUCUCUCCCCAUUCAUUUGGAAAAAAAAAGACAAAUAAUAAUACAACAGCACAUCUUUUCACCAAUUUGAUCACCAUCAUCAAUGUCCAAAUUGCAGAGCAUCAUCGACGGCCAAAGCCAAUGAAGCAGCAGCACCAACAUAUGUGUGUGGAGUUAACCUCAAAAGUUGAGUUUUCGCUUCUUCAGGCAAAUCCAAACCUUUAAUAAACUCUCUUAUGCUUUCUUCAUUCACAGCUCUUCCUCUUGUUAGCUCCUUCAGCUUCUCAUACGGCUCUGGAACACCGUACCUCCUCAUCACCUUUUAUCAUAAUACACCAUGACAAUUCCAUGAACAUGGAGUAGCUUGAACGUUAUAAAAGACUAGAAAGUCAAUAGAAAACUUACAGUCUGUAUCGGUUCAGCGAGGACUUCCCAAGUUUGAUCCAAAUCUUCUAUUAACCGAGCUUCAUUAACCUACAUCAAGAAACAUUCUUAGCCUAUGACAAAUGGAAACCUUUCUUAGGACUUACGGUAAUAAUACCUGAAGCUUCCUGAUUCCUUGAAUCGCACUCUUGUAAGCUAGAAGAGAGUGCCCUAAAGCUCCACCCAUGUUUCUCAACACAGUUGAAUCGGUUAAGUCACGCUGCACAUUUUACCAGGCUUAGCUUAUAUUCACACACAUUGCUCUAACAGAGAUUACAAAGUAAAUGAAGAAAUGCUCAAACCUGCAUUCGUGAAAUAGGAAGCUUCAUACUGAGAAAAGUAAGCUCAGCGUUAGCUUUCCCUAGGUUCCCUUCACUGUUCUCAAAGUCAAUAGGGUUCACUUUGUGAGGCAUUGUCGACGAUCCGAUCUCACCAGCUUUAGUUAUCUGCUUGAAAUACCCUAGAGAUAUGUAGCUCCAUAUAUCUCUAUCGAAAUCAAUCAAGAUAUUGUUGAACUGGCUGAUCGUGUUGAAAAGUCUAGCCAUAUAGUCAUGAGGCUCAAUCUACAAAAACCAUGGGAAACAAUCACUAAAUGAUAUAAUUGUUCAUUUAAAAACUAUAUAGUAUAUACCUGAGUGACGUAUGGGUUAAAUGUUAAACCGAGAGAAGUAACAAACGUUAUCUGCUUGAAAUACCCUAGAGAUAUGUAGCUCCAUAUAUCUCUAUCGAAAUCAAUCAAUAUAUUGUUGAACUGGCUGAUCGUGUUGAAAAGUCUAGCCAUAUAGUCAUGAGGCUCAAUCUACAAAAACCAUGGGAAACAAUCACUAAAUGAUAUAAUUGUUCAUUUAAAAACUAUAUAGUAUAUACCUGAGUGACGUAAACGUAUGGGUUAAAUGUUAAUCCAAGAGAAGUAACAAACUCCUCCGCAACAUGAGGCCAGUCGAUGUCAGGAUAAGCUGAAAUAUGAGCGUUGUAGUUCCCAACAGCACCAGCAAACUUCCCCUUGAUCUUAGUUUCUGCAAGGUAUCUCCUCUCUUCGCUUAACCUCACAGCGAAAAUCGCCAUUUCUUUCCCUUUGUAGGUGAAGCUGGCUGCAUUAGAGAAUCAAAACCAUGAACAUUUCUUCAAAACAAAGAGGUGAAGGUCUUGUCUUUUAGAGGUUUUUUACCUGUCCGUGAGUUCGUGAGAGCAUGGGGACAUACGCAAACUCCUUAGCCAUGAGAGAGAUCGACUUGAUGAGCUCAUCCAUGGAUGGGAGUAUAACGGAACUAAGCGCUUCUUGAAGCAUCAAACCAUGGGAAAGGUUGUUGAUGUCCUCAGAGGUGCAAGCGAAAUGGAAGAACUCGAGAACCUUAGCGAUCUCAGGGUGUGACUCACACUUUUGUUUCAAGAAAUACUCAACGGCCUUGACAUCGUGGUUGGUUACUUUCUCGAUCUUCUUGACUUCCAAAGCGUCGUCCAUG